rnacentral:rRNA from 1 species
CACGUAGGCGGAUUAGUCAGUUGGGGGUGAAAGCCCGGGGCUCAACUCCGGAAUUGCCUUCAAUACUACUAGUCUUGAGUCCGAGAGAGGGUGGUGGAAUUCCCAGUGUAGAGGUGAAAUUCGUAGAUAUUGGGAAGAACACCAGUGGCGAAGGCGGCCACCUGGCUCGGUACUGACGCUGAGGUGCGAAAGCGUGGGGAGCAAACA